GGGAUGAGCAGUGAGAACAUCUCCAUUUGCUGUCAUCUCCUCUGCACUCUCCUCCUCAGGGUGGACGUGGCCUGUGGACAGAGGGUCCUCCACGGUCCCUGCUGGGAAGGAGCUGCAGCCCAGUGAUGCACGUGGCCUGUGGACAGACCUCUGCUCCUUGGUCAGGUGACGUUUCCUCCUGCUGAGAAGGAGAGGCAGACUAGGGAUGGACGUGGCCUGUGGACAGGAGGACGGCCCUAUGGUCAGGUGCCAUUAGCAGCCUGUGGGAAGGAGCUGCAGCCCAG